AAUCAACGCUGGCGGCGCGCUUAACACACGCAAGUCGAACGAGAAAGGGGAGCAAUCCCUGGGUACAGUGGCGUACGGGUGAGUAACACGUGGAUGAUCUACCUCUUGGCGGGGAAUACCUCUGGGAAACCGGAGACAAUACCGCAUAAGCUCGGAAGAGGAAACCUGCAAAGGGCCGAGAGAGGAGUCCGCGGCCGAUUAGCUAGUUGGUAGGGUAAGAGCCUACCAAGGCGAAGAUCGGUAGCCGGCCUGAGAGGGCACACGGCCACACUGGCACUGAAACACGGGCCAGACUCCUACGGGAGGCAGCAGUGGGGAAUCUUGCACAAUGGGGGAAACCCUGAUGCAGCGACGCCGCGUGAGCGAUGAAGCCCUUCGGGGUGUAAAGCUCUUUCGACGGGAACGAUAAUGACGGUACCCGGAGAAGAAGCUGCGGCUAACUACGUGCCAGCAGCCGCCGUAA
rnacentral:rRNA from 1 species